GCUCCCUCCGCGCCACUCACGACUCCUACGGACGGCGAGCAGUGGGGGAAGUACGUUGUCGUACGAAAUAGGGGGUCGGAACCCGUACGAGUGCAGCGACGCCGCGUGAGCGAUGAAGCCUUCGGGUGGUAAAGACGUCUUUCGGUCAGGGAAGAUCAUGACGGUACCUGCAGAAGCAGCUGCGGCUAACUACGUGCCAGCCCGCCGCGGUAAUAC
rnacentral:rRNA from 1 species